rnacentral:rRNA from 1 species
UACGGAGGGUGCAAGCGUUAUCCGGAUUCACUGGGUUUAAAGGGUGCGUAGGCGGACAGGUAAGUCAGUGGUGAAAUCUCUGGCUUAACCCAGAAACUGCCGUUGAUACUAUUUGUCUUGAAUAUCCUGGAGGUAGGCGGAAUAUGUCAUGUAGCGGUGAAAUGCUUAGAUAUGACAUAGAACACCGAUAGCGAAGGCAGCUUACUACAGGAUGAUUGACGCUGAGGCACGAAAGCGUGGGGAGCAAACAGG